AUUCCAUGGUGGAGACAUUGUCUCAAAAGUUCCUUCAAUCGUUCCCAAGCAUCAAAUAAAUACUCAUCUUCCCCUUGCCUAAAUGAUGUGAUUUCAAUCCUCAUUUU